UACGGAGGGUGCAAGCGUUAUCCGGAUUCACUGGGUUUAAAGGGUGUGUAGGCGGAUAUUUAAGUCAGUGGUGAAAUCUCAAGGCUCAACCUUGAAACUGCCAUUGAUACUAUUUAUCUUGAAUAUCGUUGAGGUAGGCGGAAUAUAUCAUGUAGCGGUGAAAUGCUUAGAUAUGAUAUAGGACACCGAUUGCGAAGGCAGCUUGCUAAACGAUUAUUGGCGCUGAGGCACGAAAGCGUGGGGAUCAAACAGG
rnacentral:rRNA from 1 species